GCGCGGUGGCCCCUCCUGGAGGCGACGACACGGGACUUGGCGGGUCAAGGCGGCGGCGGCGCGGUUCGGCCAUGGUGGCGUGGUGGUGCUCGGCCAGGAGAGGCUGCGCUUGCGGCGGCCGAGCACGUCGCGGCCCUCGCGCCUCCGUCGUGGUGCCCCUCCUGGUCUUCGUGGUCGUGGGUGCUGGAGGCGGUGGAGCGGGUCGGAUGGGUCCGAUCUGGGCUGUUGGGUCGUGACACAGUCGUCUGCCGGGAGUUGGCCUGACGGCUGGUGUGUGGUCCGGCAUCCCUUGGUCGGGCAUGGAGGGAGCUCGGCGAGUUCUCAGCCGUGGAGGUGCUGGUGGUAUGGCUGUGUGCUCCUGGCUGUGCGGGUCUUGGUGGGACCCCAGCUUCUCGGCUAUGAUGGCGAAAUGCUGCGGCGGCGGCGGAGUAGCCAACUUGGAUGCUGUGGCCCCAAUCCGGAGGGCAGGGAUGGAGGUGCGCGGCGAUCCGGAAGAAAUUCCUGCUCGUGUUCGGUGCUGGCGAUGAUGGCGCCCGUGGGUGUCGUUCUUCUCCUUGGAGGCGUCGCCAAGGUGUGUCGACAUCUCCAUCUCUCGCGCCUGGGAUUGGUAGCGGUCUUCGGGUGAAAGCCUAGGUUCGGAGCCGAAUCGGCGUGAUGGCGGUGUCAUCUACGUCGUUCCUCUGUUGGGAGCAUUGCGCUUGAAGACACGGUCAUGAGGUUCUAUGUUGCGGUGCUUUCGGCGCUCGCCGCUGUCCAAGACGAUCUUCAGUGGCGCAAUGUACGUCAUCGUCAGUGAAUCCAAGACGCUGCUUUUUGUGGACUGAUCAAGUUCCGCCAUUUACUUGCCACCUCCUUUUAGGCAUCAAAGGGUGGAUGGUGCGUCGACGAGGGAAGUUCACAUGGAGUUGGUGUUGUCUUCGGAGAUGACCGGCGAUGGUCGAGACGCGGCGAUGUUGCUCUGUUUUUGGACAAGCGCUUUUUGCUUUGUAGUUGUGUUGUUGGUGGUGGCUGUCUUCGGACUAGCCCUGGUGUGGUGUGUGAACUACGCUUGUUGUUUGCAACAAGUUGUAGUCUUCUUGUAACUUAAAUUUUACCUUCUAUAAAAAUAUGGUAUGCAUUCGCGUACUCUCGAAAAAAAUAUAACUGUAGAGGAGGAAGAGGACGUAAACCACUCCUUUUAUCCCUCUUUACUUGUUUGGUGUCCGCGGCGAAAUGUUUGGCGAAGCUCGAUUUUGAAAUCCCCUGGUUCACGUUUCCGCUAGUUUUGCUCUACUCGGACAGACACAGAGGGUCCAUGCCGGACAGCUCGAGACUUGACGGUUGCAUCUCGUCUCUACUAUUAAUCUCUAUUAUUAUAGAGAGUUGGUGAAACCUCCUUCCUUCUAUUCUUUGUUGCGGAGUUGAUGGUCGCAUAUUUGAUGAAGCCUUUUCUCUUAUCUAUUAUUUAUUGCUUCCUAUUUUUGAUUUUGUACAACCGACUUUUGGGGACUAAUUAUUUUCUCUAGGAC
rnacentral:lncRNA from 1 species